CAUCAUAGGUUUGAGUCGUAUUCACCGCCCGMMACUUGGCAUCGUUUCGCAAUUCAUAGAGUUUCGCCUCACGUAAGCGUUCCAUGCAUUCUAAACUAUAUUGGCUGCCAAACUGUGAAAUAUUACUGUUACGCAUCCAUACACCUUUUACUUAUGCCGGAAAAAUAAAGUUCGAAAGAGAUAGGUGGAAUUUGUCCAUAGCAAAUUUCGCCCCUCAGGUGGAAUCGAACCACUUCGACGUUAAUCGACUACAGAUUUGAAGUCUGCACCCCGGACCACCGAAGCUCAGAGAGGCAAUUAAGUAUGAAUACUUGCCUCAACUUAACCAGACAUUUAAACGAAAAUACAUCGGCGAAUUGCAAACACUUUGCUAACGAAUGAAUUGUAUGUACUGAGUUCUCACGAUGUUUGAAUACUAAAAUAAAUGACAUUGUAAUGAACUAUGAUCUAAUAAAUCAAACUCCAUUGCGUUUUUCGCUAGMAGAUGCAAA